UAGGGAAUCUUCGGCAAUGGACGAAAGUCCGACCGAGCAACGCCGCGUGAGUGAAGAAGGUUUUCGGAUCGUAAAACUCUGUUGUUAGAGAAGAACAAGGACGUUAGUAACUGAACGUCCCCUGACGGUAUCUAACCAGAAAGCCAUGGCUAACUACGUGCCAGCAGCCGCGGUAAUACGUAGGUGGCAAGCGUUGUCCGGAUUUAUUGGGCGUAAAGCGAGCGCAGGCGGUUUCUUAAGUCUGAUGUGAAAGCCCCCGGCUCAACCGGGGAGGGUCAUUGGAAACUGGGAGACUUGAGUGCAGAAGAGGAGAGUGGAAUUCCAUGUGUAGCGGUGAAAUGCGUAGAUAUAUGGAGGAACACCAGUGGCGAAGGCGGCUCUCUGGUCUGUAACUGACGCUGAGACUCGAAAGCGUGGGAAGCAAACAGG
rnacentral:rRNA from 1 species